GGAUGGAUCACCUCCUUUCUAG
rnacentral:rRNA from 1 species